GCCGAAGUGAUGGAAUGGCAGACGUGAUGGACUCAAAAUCCAUUGGGGUAACUCCCGUGCGGGUUCAAGUCCCGCCUUCGGCACCA
rnacentral:tRNA from 1 species